rnacentral:rRNA from 1 species
GACAGAGGUGCCGAGCGUUAGGCGGAAUCACUGGGCUUAAAGCGUGUGUAGGCGGACUCGUAAGUGCUUUGUGAAAUCCCACGGCUCACCCGUGGAACUGCUUGGCAUACUGCGAGCCUUGAGCCACUUAGGGGCAACCGGAACAAACGGUGGAGCGGUGAAAUGCGUAGAUAUCAAGAGGAAUACCUGAGGUGAAGACGGGUUGCUAGGCCGACACUGACGCUGAAGCGCGAAAGCCAGGGGAGCAAACGGG